rnacentral:rRNA from 1 species
ACGUAGGGUGCGAGCGUUAAUCGGAAUUACUGGGCGUAAAGCGUGCGCAGGCGGUUAUACAAGACAGGCGUGAAAUCCCCGGGCUUAACCUGGGAAUGGCGUCUGUGACUGUAUAGCUAGAGUGUGUCAGAGGGGGGUGGAAUUCCACGUGUAGCAGUGAAAUGCGUAGAUAUGUGGAGGAACACCAAUGGCGAAGGCAGCCCCCUGGGAUAACACUGACGCUCAUGCACGAAAGCGUGGGGAGCAAACAGGAUUAGAUACCCUGGUAGUCCACGCCCUAAACGAUGCUGACUAGUUGUUGGGAAUUUACAUUCUCAGUAACGUAGCUAACGCGUGAAGUCAGCCGCCUGGGGAGUACGGUCGCAAGAUUA